UAUAUGGUUCGCGCGGAUUUCGAUAUCGUUAACGGGUUACCGUUAUCGGAUUUCUCGACCGCGGUGGGAUACGUUCCGACGUAGAAUUGGUUCGCUUAUUAUUUUACCGCAGAAAAAUUGUGUCAACAAUACAAUUUCGAGUUUAGGUUUGUUUUACGAUAAAGAAAACGAAAAUUCCGUUGGAUUGACGAGUGAAAUCCGACGAAUGACGGUACGUUUUCAAAAGCAAUGCUCGUACGGUUUUUGUCUUGACUUUUUUUCUCCGUCCAAAAAGACGGAAAUUUGUGAGAUUCUAAGCAGUAGAUAACUGUUGAAAAAUCUUAUCGUUAAAAUGUUCACAUUUUACAACAACUUGGAGAUAAUUCGGAAAACCGCCACCGAUCCCUUCGAAUCAAAAUUUGUAUUAUCGGAAAAAUGCUUUUAAAAAAAAUGAAUUCUGAAACUCUAUAAUGACAAGUAGGUGUUUGUCAAAAAAAAAAAUAAAAAAUAAACAUCCAAAACAGUUUCAACAGUACCCGCAUGCCCGUGAAAACAUUUGAAAUUAAUUUUAACAUCAGACAUUCCGGUAUUUUUAAUUUAAAUGCAUA